rnacentral:rRNA from 1 species
UGACAAGAAAUAACAAUACAGGGCUCUUCGAGUCUUGUAAUUGGAAUGAGUACAAUUUACAUCUCUUCACGAGGAUCAAUUGGAGGGCAAGUCUGGUGCCAGCAGCCGCGGUAAUUCCAGCCCCAAUAGCGUAUAUUAAAGUUGUUGCAGUUAAAACGCUCGUAGUCGGAUUUCGGGGCGGGCCCGCCGGUCUGCCGAUGGGUAUGCACUGGCGGGCGCGCCCUUCCUCCCGGAGACGGCGCCGGAGACGGGAUAUUUACUUUGAAAAAAUCAGAGUGUUUCAAGCAGGCAGUCGCUCUUGCAUGGAUUAGCAUGGGAUAAUGAAAUAGGACUCUGGUGCUAUUUUGUUGGUUUCGAGCACCGGAGUAAUGAUUAACAGG